rnacentral:rRNA from 5 species
GUCCACUGAACCUUAUCAUUUAGAGGAAGGAGAAGUCG